CCACUGUCCAGUUCAGAGAAGCUGUCUCUUAUAGAAGGACAACCCUUGAGUCAGAAUGACAACACAAGGUACAUGAGUUUGGUAGGUGCACUUCAAUAUCUGACCCUUACAAGACCUGAUAUCUCAUUUGCUGUCAAUAAGGUAUGCCAGUUUCUUCAUGCACCUAUCACAGUUCACUGGACUGCUGCAAAGCGUAUAGUUAGAUAUGUCAAAAACACUCUGAGUAUUGGUCUGAAUUUCAGCAAGUCCUCAUCCACACUCUUGAGUGCCUUUUCAGAUUCUGACUGGGCAGGUUGCCUGGAUGACAGACGGUCCACUGGUGGCUUUGCAGUAUUUUUUGGUCCUAAUCUAAUUUCAUGGUGUGCCAGAAAACAGGCUACUGUCUCUCGCUCUAGUACAGAGGCAGAAUAUAAAGCAUUGACAAAUACUACAGCUGAGAUUAUAUGGGUACAAUCAUUGCUGAAAGAACUUGGUGUAAAAAGUACUAAAACUCCAUGUUUAUGGUGUGAUAACCUGGGUGCCACAUAUUUGUCUGCU
rnacentral:rRNA from 1 species